UUCCAGCUUGCCCAGCGGGUAGACCUGCUCGAUGCCAGGGUCUUAGCGCAGAUGAGCAUCGCCUAAUCUACAGAGGCUCUUUGCUUUCCGCGCCGCGCCACGACGAGGUAGCAAGUACCUCCUUACAGCGGCUCCCUGGCUCUGCUAGACAAGCUGACUGUGCGUUCUACAUACGACUGUAUAUGAUGAAAGCAGGAAGCUCAAGACAUGGACCUACCAUGGGUCAUGUGGUAGACUACUAUUGAAUCUGACCUAUCCCUUCAGGCUCCUUUUUAUCCCUAGCUCCCUGCUCUGGCACUGUUUUGAAGGCUGUGGGGGGAGCUGCCCUGAAGCUUACUCCUGCCUCUCUGGUUCCCCUUGCUUUCCCUGAUUCUGUAUGGCUACCACAUAAGCCAUCCUCCCUUCCAUGCGUCUCUGUGCCAUAGACAGCUGGUGUGAACUCUGCCGUGCCUUCCCUGUGUGAAAGCCUGAAAUCCUUCUGUUAACAAGAGCCAAAAUAGAUAUUUCUUCCCUUAAGUUGCUUUUGUCAGGCAUUUUGCUCACAGCAGCACAAAAAAAGCUAACAUGGUCUUUAACAGUCCUGCCUGCCAUGGAGAGAGGAGGCCUUUCUGGCUCCCUCAAGUCUAGGUUGUCCGUGAUGAUUUACCUGGCCAGUGGAUGCUAAAGGAUGCUACAGUCUGGGAGUCCUGGGUCACACGAAGCCUUGGCUUCUUUCUGACUGUCUCAGAACACUUGCUCUGGGGAAAGCCAGGCCAACAAAGAAUUCCACGUCUCUGAAAUUGCCAUGCUGGAAGGUAGCUGGGCUCCAACCUUUCUAGUCUUCAGCCACUCAAGCCUUCUCACUUGAGUACCAGGUAAUCAGGAAGCCAAGAGAAGGAAUCCUGCCAAACUCAAGUUACUAGUAUAUGAGCAAAAAAAGUAAGGAUACUUGUUUAAGCCAGUAAGUUUGGGAGUGACUGAUUACACAACAGAAAACUAACAUAUCCUGUAACUCACUUUUAACAAGGACAAGAAGUCUAGUGAUGUAGACCCAAUUAAGAAUUCAUCAAGAAAGGGCUGGUGAGCCGGGAGGUGGUGGCUCACACCUGUAAUCCCAGCACUCUGGGAAUCAGAGGCAGGAUUCUGAGUUCAAGGCCAGCCUGGUCUACAGAGUGAGUUCCAGGACAGCCAGGGCUAUACAGAGAAACCCUGUCUCGAAAAAAACCAAAUCCAAAAAAAAAAAAGGAAAGGGCUGGUGAGACUGGGCAUGGUGGUACAUGACUUCAAUGCCAGCACUGGGGAGGCGGAGGCAGGUGGAACUUUGUGAAACCAGCUUGGUCUACAGAGUGAGUUCCAGGACAAAUCAGAGAUACAUAAUAGACCCUAUUAAAAAGAUUUUUUUAAUUAAAAAAAAAACAGAAAGGGUUGGCUCAGUGGGUAAAGAUGCUUGCUGUGUAAACCUGGCAACUUAAGUCCAAUCCCUGAAACCUCCAUAAAGGUAGAAGGAGAGAACUGACUCCACAACAUUGUCUUCAGACCCCCACACUCAAUUCCAUAGCAUCAGCACACACACAAUAACAAAUUAAAAAAAAAUUCAUCCAGGUGUAGUUGCACAUGCUAUUUUAAUUCCAGCACUUGGGAGGCAGGGGUAGGUGGAUCUCUGAGUUCAAAGCCAGCCUGGCAUACAAAGUGAGUUCCUGGCAAGUCAGGGCUAUGUAGAAGAUCCUGUCUCAAAAAAAAAAAUCAGUAUGAUCAUAAAAUAAAAUAUAACACACAGCUAUGUGUGGGCUAUGUGUCAUGGCUGCUCACUCCUCUGAAAGUGUGUCUUUCGAACUCCCAUUAGUAAUGUAUAAAAUGUCUUGAGAAAAAAGCAAGUUGGAGACUGCCCUGAGCUUAAAACUACUUGCAGACGGCCCAGGUUUAGUUCCCAGCACCCACCUGGUGGUUCAUAAGUGGCGUCGAUUACUCCAGCUCUGGGGGAUCUAGAUGACCAGACAAGAUCUUCUGAUCUCUUCAUGUACCAAGUAUGCACAUAGCACACAUACAUACAUUCAGGCGAAACACUCAUACACAGAAAAAUAAAAUACAUCUCAACUGGGGGAAAAGCAAGUCAGGGAAUAAAUGUUUACUUCGGCUUAUAGUCCCAGAAGGGAUACAGUCCAUCACAGCAGACAAGGCACGGCAGGAAUGUGAAGGUGGCCUGGCACUCAGGAAACAGAAAGAUCACACUUCAUCCAUACAUAGGUAGCAGAGGGAAAUGACAGGAAGUGGGGCCAGGCCAUACAACAUCAAAGCCUGACCUAAAGACAGCAAGCCUUCCCUUCCUAAAGGUCCCAUAAUCUUCCCAGUGCUGCCAUCAGCUGGAGACCAAGUGUUCAGAUACCUGAGCCUAUGGGGGAUUUUUCACACUCACACCACAACUCCACAAGACUUUGUACCAAGAUUCAUGCUACCCUUUCUUCACUGCUCCUUCUAGGGCAACCCUUUCCAUGUCUCCGAAAUGUUAAUGCUAAUGACAAACAAAACCAGCCUUUAACCUGGAAUGCUUUAAGUCUAGACUGUAAAUAAAAGGAUCAUCCUGAACUGCCUGGUUAUGAACCUCCAUACAGGUGUCCAGGAACUGAACCUGGGUUCUCUGAGCCUAUUGGCAUUUGUGAUGGUUUGAAUGAGAAUGGUCCCCAUUGGCUCAUAUACUUGAAGACUUGGUCCUCAAUUGGUGGAACUGUUUGGGAUGGAUUAGAAGGUGUGGCCUUGUUGGGAAAGGUGUGUCACUGGGCUCUAAAGUUCCACAAGCUCACGCCAGGUCCAGUCUCAUGCACUCUCUGCCUCUGCCUGGAGAUCCCCAUGUAAGCUCUUAGUUACUGCUCCAGUGCUGUGCCUGCCUGCUACCACACUUCCUGUCAUGAUGAUAAUAGACUCACCCUCUGAAACUGUAAUUAAGCUCCCAAUUAAAUGCUUUCUUUUGUACAUUG